rnacentral:rRNA from 1 species
UACGAGAGGCCCAAACGUUAUUCGGAAUUACUGGGCUUAAAGAGUUCGUAGGCGGCGCAGCAAGUCGGGUGUGAAAGCCCUCGGCUCAACCGAGGAAUUGCGCUCUAAACUGCUGUGCUCGAGGGACCUAGAGGUGAGCGGAACUGAUGGUGUAGCGGUGAAAUGCGUAGAGAUGUGGAGGAACACCGAUGGCGAAGGCAGCCUUCUGGGCCAAUACUGACGCUCAUGCACGAAAGCGUGGGGAGCAAACAGG